GACGAACGCUGGCGGCGUGCCUAAUACAUGCAAGUCGAACGCAGUGGGGACGGGUGCGUAACACGUGGGUAACCUCCCAUCAGAGGGGAUAACACUUGGCAACAGGUGCUAAACCGAUACUGAUGGAUGGACCCGCGGUGCAUUAGCUAGUCGGUGGGGUAACGGCUCACCAAGGCCACGAUGCCUAGCUGACCUGAGAGGAGGAUCGGCCACACUGGAACUGAGACACGGUCCAGACUCCUACGGGAGGCAGCAGUAGGGAAUAUUCGGCAAUGGGCGAAAGUCUGAUGGAGCAACGCCGCGUGAAUGAAGAAGGUUUUCGGAUCGUAAAACACUGUUGUUAGGGAAGCGUUAUCUAACCAGGAAGCAACGGCUAACUACGUGCCAGCAGCCGCGGUAAUUC
rnacentral:rRNA from 1 species